GGAGAGGUGCUCGAGUGGCUUAAGAGGCACGCUUGGAAAGCGUGUAAACGUGUGAAUGUUUCGGGGGUUCGAAUCCCUUCCUCUCCG
rnacentral:tRNA from 1 species